rnacentral:rRNA from 1 species
UACGAAGGGGGCUAGCGUUGUUCGGAAUUACUGGGCGUAAAGGGCGCGCAGGCGGUCUGUUACGUCCGUUGUGAAAGCUCCCGGCUCAACUGGGAGAGGUCUUCGGAUACGGGCGGACUCGAGGAAGGUAGAGGAAGGUGGAAUUCCCGGUGUAGUGGUGAAAUGCGUAGAGAUCGGGAGGAACACCAGUGGCGAAGGCGGCCUUCUGGGCCUUUCCUGACGCUGAGGCGCGAAAGCGUGGGGAGCGAACCGG